rnacentral:rRNA from 1 species
UACGUAGGUCCCGAGCGUUGUCCGGAUUUAUUGGGCGUAAAGCGAGCGCAGGUGGUUUAAUAAGUCUGAUGUAAAAGGCAGUGGCUCAACCAUUGUGUGCAUUGGAAACUGUUAGACUUGAGUGCAGUAGAGGAGAGUGGAAUUCCAUGUGUAGCGGUGAAAUGCGUAGAUAUAUGGAGGAACACCGGUGGCGAAAGCGGCUCCCUGGACUGUCACUGACACUGAGGCUCGAAAGCGUGGGUAGCAAACAGGAUUAGAUACCCUGGUAGUCCACGCCGUAAACGAUGAGUGCUAGUUGUUUGGGGCUAUCCAGCCCUAAGUGACGCAGCAAACGCAUUAAGCACUCCGCCUGGGGAGUACGACCGCAAGGUUGAA